rnacentral:rRNA from 1 species
CCUACGGGAGGCAGCAGUGGGGAAUAUUGGACAAUGGGGGCAACCCUGAUCCAGCCAUGCCGCGUGUGUGAAGAAGGCCUUUUGGUUGUAAAGCACUUUAAGCAGGGAGGAGAGGCUAAUGGUUAAUACCCAUUAGAUUAGACGUUACCUGCAGAAUAAGCACCGGCUAACUCUGUGCCAGCAGCCGCGGUAAUACAGAGGGUGCGAGCGUUAAUCGGAAUUACUGGGCGUAAAGCGAGUGUAGGUGGCUCAUUAAGUCACAUGUGAAAUCCCCGGGCUUAACCUGGGAACUGCAUGUGAUACUGGUGGUGCUAGAAUAUGUGAGAGGGAAGUAGAAUUCCAGGUGUAGCGGUGAAAUGCGUAGAGAUCUGGAGGAAUACCGAUGGCGAAGGCAGCUUCCUGGCAUAAUAUUGACACUGAGAUUCGAAAGCGUGGGUAGCAAACAGGAUUAGAUACCCUGGUAG